GCCCUCCAGGUUUCCCUCCCCCAUCAGCCCUCAACGCUGGUCGGAGUGGCUGUAAAAGGAGAAAAAGUUAAAGGGAAACUGGCUGAAAUGCUUCAUGACCCAGGAGCUAGUUUCAGGAAAAA
rnacentral:snoRNA from 1 species